GGGUAAAUCGAGUGCGCGAGUUUUAUUUGAAAUGUGCGAAUAAAAGUGAAUUUCGGGUAAUAAAAGUGAGUGUUAUAAAUAUAUAAGCAGCCGAAGCAGCAAACGAAGCACGCAAAUGGAAAUUCAAAAACCUGAGCUGUAACCACUGUGCCACGUGCCGGACAAAGGCUGUGACCAUGACGGAUGAGCUAGAGUGUGAACUAUAGUGUCUGCUACCUUAGCAGCAUUUCAUUUAGGAUAAUUGCAUAUUUCAUCAAGCUGAUGAUGAGGUGUGUAAACGGAUGAUGGAGGAGAAGCUGUUGUACUCACCCAUCUUUGGUCUUGUCGUGCUGCGGUAUGUGCUGUGGCGGUGGCAUGGAGUAGCAGGUGGCCGGACUGGGCGAAUAGCCGCCGGAGACGGGAGUCGGAUAGCCGCCGGGUCCGACGGCUGUCGCAUACGGAUUGCUGCAUUGAUAGGCCGCCGGUCCGUAGCCAUGAUAGCCGGCUGGUGGAUAAUCUGAUUGCACAACCAUCCCAUAGCCGGGAUGAGGCGAAUAACCUGUAAUCAAAGAAAAUCCCAAUUCGUAUUGCAAAGAAAAUGAGGCAAUCAUAUGAUGCUCUUACCACUGGGAUCCCGAUACGUUUCGAUGUAGUGAGAUCCGCCGCUGUCGGGCGUCGAUUCGCGACUGUAGGGGCGUGGUCCACUUAUGUGACCCACGAGGCCGAAGCCAAGGGGACGCGGGGGUCCACUGAAGUCCACUGGCUCCAUUUGCGGUGAUCGCGGCGGUCCGUUUGGUCCAAUUGAACCGGGGGCAGCACUGCCAAAGCCCUGGCCGUGACCCACGACAAGGCCGUCGGCUCCGUACUGUGGACUCGUGAUGAUGCUGAACGAGAAAGAAAAAUACGCAUAUUGCAUGGGAAACAAUUAAAAGCUGUUCACCAAAGCGGAAAUCAAAUCAAAAAACGCGCUUUAAUAACAAAUGCUACAACACAUUGCCCCAAAAGUUACUGGAAUAAUUUGAGAUGAUGCAUCACAUUAUCUCUCUUCAAACACAGAAGAAACACAAUGCGACUGAAGACCGUUUAUAAAGGAGCGAC